rnacentral:rRNA from 1 species
UGGGGGAUAUUGCACAAUGGGCGAAAGCCUGAUGCAGCGACGCCGCGUGGGGGAUGAAGGCCUUCGGGUUGUAAACUUCUUUUGCUCUGAACAAGGCAUGCUUUUGGGGUGUGUUGAGUGUAGGGGUUGAUUAGCGCCGGCUAACUACGUGCCAGCAGCCGCGGUAAUACGUAGGGCGCGAGCGUUGUCCGGAAUUAUUGGGCGUAAAGGGCUUGUAGGUGGCUGGUUGCGUCUGUCGUGUAAUCCUCUGGCUUAACUGGGGGUGUGCGGUGGGUACGGGCAAGCUUGAGUGCGGUAGGGGAGAUUGGAAUUCCUGGUGUAGCGGUGGAAUGCGCAGAUAUCAGGAGGAACACCGGUGGCGAAGGCGGGUCUCUGGGCCGUUACUGACGCUGAGGAGCGAAAGCGUGGGGAGCGAACAGG